rnacentral:rRNA from 1 species
AGUCGCCGCGGUAAUACGUAGGGCGCAAGCGUUAUCCGGAAUUAUUGGGCGUAAAGAGCUCGUAGGCGGUUUGUCGCGUCUGCCGUGAAAGUCCGGGGCUCAACCCCGGAUCUGCGGUGGGUACGGGCAGACUAGAGUGAUGUAGGGGAGACUGGAAUUCCUGGUGUAGCGGUGAAAUGCGCAGAUAUCAGGAGGAACACCGAUGGCGAAGGCAGGUCUCUGGGCAUUAACUGACGCUGAGGAGCGAAAGCAUGGGGAGCGAACAGGAUUAGAUACCCGCGUAGUCCCUGUCUCUUAUACA